rnacentral:rRNA from 1 species
UGGGGAAUCUUCCGCAAUGGACGAAAGUCUGACGGAGCAACGCCGCGUGAGUGAAGACGGCCUUCGGGUUGUAAAGCUCUGUGAUCCGGGACGAAAGAGCCUGAGGUGAAUAGCCUAAGGAAGUGACGGUACCGGAAAAGCAAGCCACGGCUAACUACGUGCCAGCAGCCGCGGUAAUACGUAGGUGGCAAGCGUUGUCCGGAAUUAUUGGGCGUAAAGCGCGCGCAGGCGGCUUCCUAAGUCCAUCUUAAAAGUGCGGGGCUUAACCCCGUGAUGGGAUGGAAACUGGGAAGCUGGAGUGUCGGAGAGGAAAGUGGAAUUCCUAGUGUAGCGGUGAAAUGCGUAGAGAUUAGGAAGAACACCGGUGGCGAAGGGGACUUUCUGGACGAAAACUGACGCUGAGGCGCGAAAGCGUGGGGAGCAAACAGG